AACGAACGCUGGCGGCAUGCCUAACACAUGCAAGUCGAACGAGACCUUCGGGUCUAGUGGCGCACGGGUGCGUAACGCGUGGGAACCUGCCCUUAGGUUCGGAAUAACUCCCCGAAAGGGGUGCUAAUACCGGAUAAUGUCUUCGGACCAAAGAUUUAUCGCCUUUGGAUGGGCCCGCGUUGGAUUAGCUAGUUGGUAGGGUAAAAGCCUACCAAGGCGACGAUCCAUAGCUGGUCUGAGAGGAUGAUCAGCCACACUGGGACUGAGACACGGCCCAGACUCCUACGGGAGGCAGCAGUGGGGGAUAUUGGACAAUGGGCGAAAGCCUGAUCCAGCAAUGCCGCGUGAGUGAUGAAGGCCUUAGGGUUGUAAAGCUCUUUUAACCGGGAUGAUAAUGACAGUACCGGGAGAAUAAGCGCCGGCUAACUCCGUG
rnacentral:rRNA from 1 species